UAGGGAAUCUUUCGGCAAUGGACGAAAGUCUGACCGAGCAACGCCGCGUGAGUGAAGAAGGUUUUCGGAUCGUAAAACUCUGUUGUUAGAGAAGAACAAGGGUGAGAGUAACUGUUCACCCCUUGACGGUAUCUAACCAGAAAGCCACGGCUAACUACGUACCAG
rnacentral:rRNA from 1 species